UACGUAGGUCCCGAGCGUUGUCCGGAUUUAUUGGGCGUAAAGCGAGCGCAGGUGGUUUAAUAAGUCUGAUGUAAAAGGCAGUGGCUCAACCAUUGUGUGCAUUGGAAACUGUUAGACUUGAGUGCAGUAGAGGAGAGUGGAAUUCCAUGUGUAGCGGUGAAAUGCGUAGAUAUAUGGAGGAACACCGGUGGCGAAAGCGGCUCUCUGGACUGUCACUGACACUGAGGCUCGAAAGCGUGGGUAGCAAUCAGG
rnacentral:rRNA from 1 species